GACGAACGCUGGCGGCGUGCCUAAUACAUGCAAGUCGAACGAGAGCGUCCGGUGCUUGCACUGGUCAAUCUAGUGGCGAACGGGUGAGUAACCCGUGGGUAACCUGCCCAUCAGAGGGGGAUAACAUUCGGAAACGGAUGCUAAAUCCGCAUAGGUUCUCCAGUCGCAUGACUGAAGAAGGAAAAGAGGCUUCGGCUUCUGCUGAUGGAUGGCCCCGCGGUGCAUUAGCUAGUUGGUGAGGUAACGGCUCACCAAGGCCGUGAUGCAUAGCCGACCUGAGAGGGUGAUCGGCCACAUUGGGACUGAGACACGGCCCAAACUCCUACGGGAGGCAGCAGUAGGGAAUCUUCCGCAAUGGACGCAAGUCUGACGGAGCAACGCCGCGUGAGUGAAGAGGGAUUUCGGUUCGUAAAACUCUGUUGUUAGAGAAGAACAGCGCAUAGAGUA
rnacentral:rRNA from 1 species